GCGCGAAAAACUUUACAAUGCGGGAAACCGUGAUAAGGGGACACCGAGUGCCAGCAUCAUAUGCUGGCUGUCCAGAUGUGUAAAAUACAUCUGUUAGCAAGGGCCGGGCAAGACCGGUGCCAGCCGCCGCGGUAACACCGGCGGCCCGAGUGGUGAUCGUGAUUAUUGGGUCUAAAGGGUCCGUAGCCGGUUUGGUCAGUCCUCCGGGAAAUCUGAUAGCUCAACUAUUAGGCUUUCGGGGGAUACUGCCAGACUUGGAACCGGGAGAGGUAAGAGGUACUACAGGGGUAGGAGUGAAAUCUUGUAAUCCCUGUGGGACCACCUGUGGCGAAGGCGUCUUACCAGAACGGGUUCGACGGUGAGGGACGAAAGCUGGGGGCACGAACCGGAUUAGAUACCCGGGUAGUCCCAGCCGUAAACGAUGCUCGCUAGGUGUCAGACAUGGCGCGACCGUGUCUGGUGCCGCAGGGAAGCCGUGAAGCGAGCCACCUGGGAAGUACGGCCGCAAGGCUGAAACUUAAAGGAAUUGGCGGGGGAGCACAACAACGGGUGGAGCCUGCGGUUU
rnacentral:rRNA from 1 species